rnacentral:rRNA from 1 species
GACGAACGCUGGCGGCGUGCCUAAUACAUGCAAGUCGAGCGGAGCUGAUGGAGUGCUUGCACUCCUGAUGCUUAGCGGCGGACGGGUGAGUAACACGUAGGCAACCUGCCCUCAAGACUGGGAUAACUACCGGAAACGGUAGCUAAUACCGGAUAAUUAAAUUCGCUGCAUGGCGGAGUUAUGAAAGGCGGAGCAAUCUGUCACUUGAGGAUGGGCCUGCGGCGCAUUAGCUAGUUGGUGAGGUAACGGCUCACCAAGGCGACGAUGCGUAGCCGACCUGAGAGGGUGAACGGCCACACUGGGACUGAGACACGGCCCAGACUCCUACGGGAGGCAG